UGAUCUUAAUGGAGAUUGUUUUUUUUUUCUUUUGACCGAGCUCAUUUGUGUUAUCGUCGUGUUUCUAUUUUCAUAUGUGCCGAACAUUAAUCAAUACCUCGAGAAGGAUUGAUUAUCUCAUUCAUAAAGACAAUUAAUUAUCUCGACGAUAACGACAAUUAAUUAUCUCGACGACAAUAUCGAAUUAAUAUCCCGACGAAUAAAAAUCAUGACGAUUGAAAACAAAUCAAUCUGAUUUUUAAACAAGUCUUAAUGCCGGGGACAAUAGCGAAUAGUUCAACAGCUUGACGGUAAAUCUGUCCCGACGUUU
rnacentral:lncRNA from 1 species